ensembl:lncRNA
GUCUCUUUGAGGUAUCAUCAGACAAACUUAAAAAUUCUCCACCGCUGGCCAUUUCCAAGUACAGAUGCCAAUUUGACCACACAUUUUAAACAUGUGUCUGGAGAAUUUUAUGUAGCUCCUUUUACAAACUUAAAGAGAAAUAUAUUCUCUGUUACCAAGAAAAUUGGUCUAUUGGGAGGAUUUAGAAAUGGAAAAAAUGUAGAAAAUAAUCCGCAAGUAAAUACGAAGGCAGUUUCUAUUUGUAUCUAUGCCUGCGCUGGUUAUAAGUUAGGCUCUUUUGAAGACUACACAUACACAUUAAGCAUAAAUGCAUUUUGGAAGAAAGAUAAGAAGAAAGAAGCCAUCACUAGAGGAUGGCAUAAGAAGAAAUCAAAGCCAUCUCACUGAGCAGUUGUGGCUAAAGCGUAUCUUCAGCUAAGACUGCUAUGUGGUGAGCCCUGCCCUGUAAAAAGGCAUAUUGAUGGCCACUCAAAGGGACAAGAAAUCAUAAACCAAGAUGAUGAUGGUGGAGCUCAAUUGCAACCAGAGACGUAUGUUUUCCAUAUACACAUAGAAGAGAGAAUGGGAAUUUCAAAAUGAGCAAGGUCGACUGUUGUUGGAAGAUAAAAAUAACCCACUGCGACUGUGGACCAGACUUAUAGGAGUUGGUCCAUGACUAAGACCACAGGUUGGCAGUGGCAAAGGGCAUUCAGCCUGUAGGCACAAGGCCAUGCCCCCAGCACCACAGCUCCUGGAGUAGGAAGGGUGACUGAGGCAGUGACAGAUGAUGCCUCUGAGUCUCAGAAAGGAUAAGGGGCCUGCUGCAAAGCGUUUAGUUCAUUGAUGGUGGAGCCAGGCUAGAACCCUGUCUCCUCACCCCCACUCUGAUGUUCCCUCCGUUGAACAACACCAACUCUCUGAAAUCAAUAGGCACAGAUCAACUAUUGGAAUGUCAUCAGGAACUAGUCUUCUGGAAACUGUAGGAAAUCUGAUAUGGAUAGAAGAGGAACUCACAGAUCAGAGCAUCUAUGUUGAGAGGACUAAGACUUGAAACGCUACUUCUGAAGCAUCAGUGAAAACAUGACUAAGUUUACAACAUGGAACUAUGAUGGGAGGAAGCUAUUGGUUCCUGAAUUAUUUCCAUGUUAGCGCUUCAUAUUCCUGAUGUAGCAUGAUCUUGGUAACCACCAACAGACCAAAGACUUCAUGUGCUGACUCUCAUGCCUUCCCACUUCACAGAGGAACUGCAGGCAGUCGUUGUACCACGUUACAUGCUUACCAGCAGAACCUGAGAAUUCCAGUUCCUUCACAUUAGUAAGAUUCCUGCUCUUGCAGUUGGAAAAGGCCGGGACAGAGAAAGAGGAUUCUGCUAGGGGCAAGACGAAGAGCAGGGUCAGCAAACAUUGCUGCCCAGAGAGAGGCAAGAUGUGGUCAUAAGAAAAAGGGCACAUUCAUAGAACACAUAUUCACAAAGAAUAUAUUCUCAAGGAAAACGACCUUUUUAUAAAUACAUUCUUCUUAUAAAUAAGAAGCUACCCCCAGCUUCCUCCUUUGUUCCCCACACAUUUUGCCCCAUUUCUUCUCUUCUCUGUAGUCUCCUUCCUCGCUGGGAGGGCUGCGCUGUGUGCUUACCCUGCUCCCUGUCUCUUCCCAAGUAGUCAUUCAUCCCUGCUCCCUCCAGCGCCCUAGCAAGGAGCUGGGGCAGAGACAAACCCGAUGCUCCUUCGAAUGCUAUUAGGGAGACAAAAUGAAAACUAGCCCAUUAGAACUAAGUAGUGACAAGAAAUAGUAAAUUCAUAGAAGCGGUUAUGCAGUGAAUCAGACUCAUUUCCUCCGGGCCCCUGCUCACAUGACUACUUUUCUACAAAGCCUUCUCUGACUCUCCUUGGCAGGUCCCAUUACACCUUGUUCACACCUCUAUUACAUUGCUUAGAAGUGACAUGAAAAUAGAAGCAUUCUAUCUUAGUUACUUGACUUCAUAAGUAGUCCAAUUUCUAGACUGUUUAUCCCUUUAACAACUACUUAAUAAACAAAAAUGUCUUCGUUAAACAGACAUUUGUGGGGAGGGGGGCAAAAUGGGUGAAGGGGGUGAAAAGGUACAAACUCCAGCUAUCGAAUAAAUGUCAUGGGGAUGUAAUGUACAGCAUGGUGACUAUAGUUAGUAAUACUGUAUUGCAUUUUGGAAGCUGCUAAGAAAGAAAGUAGAUCUUAAAAGUUCUCAUCACAAUAAAAAACAUUUUGUAACGAUGUAUGGUGAUGAAUGCUAACCAGACUUAUUGCGGUGAUCAUUUUGCAGUAUAUAAAAAUACCAAAUCACCAUGUUGUACACCUGAAACUAAUAUAAUGUUAUACGUCAAUUAUACCUCAAUAAAAAAAUUUCUAAAUAAAACACUGACAUUUACUGUGAGCUGACUAUGUGC